rnacentral:rRNA from 1 species
UACGUAGGGGGCAAGCGUUGUCCGGAUUUAUUGGGCGUAAAGAGCGUGUAGGCGGCCAGAUAGGUCUGUUGUGAAAACUCGAGGCUCAACCUCGAGACGUCGGUGGAAACCGUUUGGCUAGAGUCCGGAAGAGGAGAGUGGAAUUCCCGGUGUAGCGGUGAAAUGCGCAGAUAUCGGGAAGAACACCCGUGGCGAAGGCGGCUCUCUGGGACGGUACUGACGCUGAGACGCGAAAGCGUGGGGAGCGAACAGG